rnacentral:sRNA from 1 species
CCAAUGUGAACGUUACCAAACUGUUGCCUCGGCGGGAUCUCUGCCCCGGGUGCGUCGCAGCCCCGGACCAAGGCGCCCGCCGGAGGACCAACCAAAACUCUUAUUGUAUACCCCCUCGCGGGUUUUUUUUAUAAUCUGAGCCUUCUCGGCGCCUCUCGUAGGCGUUUCGAAAAUGAAUCAAAACUUUCAACAACGGAUCUCUUGGUUCUGGCAUCGAUGAAGAACGCAGCGAAAUGCGAUAAGUAAUGUGAAUUGCAGAAUUCAGUGAAUCAUCGAAUCUUUGAACGCACAUUGCGCCCGCCAGUAUUCUGGCGGGCAUGCCUGUCCGAGCGUCAUUUCAACCCUCGAACCCCUCCGGGGGGUCGGCGUUGGGGAUCGGCCCUGCCUUGGCGGUGGCCGUCUCCGAAAUACAGUGGCGGUCUCGCCGCAGCCUCUCCUGCGCAGUAGUUUGCACACUCGCAUCGGGAGCGCGGCGCGUCCACAGCCGUUAAACACCCAACUUCUGAAAUGUUGACCUCGGAUCAGGUAGGAAUACCCGCUGAACUUAAGCAUAUCAAUAAGCGGAGGAAAAGAAACCAACAGGGAUUGCCCCAGUAACGGCGAGUGAAGCGGCAACAGCUCAAAUUUGAAAUCUGGUCCCUAGGGCCCGAGUUGUAAUUUGUAGAGGAUGCUUUUGGUGAGGUGCCGCCCGAGUUCCCUGGAACGGGACGCCACAGAGGGUGAGAGCCCCGUCUGGCUGGCCGCCGAGCCUCUGUAAAGCUCCUUCGACGAGUCGAGUAGUUUGGGAAUGCUGCUCAAAAUGGGAGGUAUAUGUCUUCUAAAGCUAAAUAUUGGCCAGAGACCGAUAGCGCACAAGUAGAGUGAUCGAAAGAUGAAAAGCACCUUGAAAAGAGGGUUAAAUAGUACGUGAAAUUGUUGAAAGGGAAGCGCUUGUGACCAGACUUGGGCGCGGCGGAUCAUCCGGGGUUCUCUCCGGUGCACUUCGCCGCGUCUAGGCCAGCAUCAGUUCGUCGCGGGGGAAAAAGGCUUCGGGAACGUGGCUCCUCCGGG